rnacentral:lncRNA from 1 species
GAAGUAUUAACAAAGUAACUUGAACUAUGAACAAAAUGUAACAAGAGUAGUGUAAUUAAGGAAGAAAUCCAAGAUCAAAACUGAAAUUAUAAAAUUCUACAACGAAAGCUAAUUAAAACCCUAAGAGAGCAUUUCCUAAACUACAUUACUCCUACUCCUAAUAAUGUGUUUUCUAAUGUCUAAGUGAGCUCCCUUUGAUAUGAAAUGAUCCCCCUUGAUAUAUAGCACUCCAAAUCAGCUUCAGCACAUCUAAAAUUGGGCCAAGAGGCCCCCAAAAUUGCGAGCCACAUGCUUCAUUAAUGAAGUCACGCGCUGGGACUUGUGCGUAUGCACAGAUGUGUGCUUACGCCCACUUGCUGAUUUCUGCACUUGUGCGUACACAGGUGGUUGUGCGUACACACACUUGACUGUGUGCUUCUCCUUUGUUUUCUUCACGAAAUCUCCCAUUUUGCAUGCUUCCUUCCACUUUUUCCUAGCCAUUCUUGCCUAUUGGACCUGAAAUCACUCACAAAACAUAUCACGGCAUCGAAUGGAAUAAAAGUGGAAUUAAAAUGAUCAAUUUAAGCACAAAAAUACAUGUUUUCACAUUUAGGUCCAAUCUAGAGAGAAAUCACAAAAGUAUGAUAUUUUAGUGAUUAAGUGUGAAUUUAUAUGAUGAAAUCCGUCCAAUUCAAGCUAAAAUUUAUCGUCAAAUAUGGACUCAUCAGUCAUCAAAGACAGCGAUUCUAAACCGUUGACUAUAUAGUAACAGUUCCAAACUGUUCUUUAAAAAUGAUUGUCAAAAUCGUUGUCUAUGCUAGUAACUAUGGCAACGGUUUUUUUGGUUACUGUUGUCUUAGGUAAAA